CAGAUCCCAAAGUGGUGCCUUUUGCUAUUUGCAGAUUUUUGGCAUUUUUAUUUUUCCUGAUUUACAUGGUAACAAUUUGGACCUAGUCCAAA